rnacentral:rRNA from 1 species
GACGAACGCUGGCGGCGUGCCUAAUACAUGCAAGUAGAACGCUGAAGGAGGAGCUUGCUUCUCUGGAUGAGUUGCGAACGGGUGAGUAACGCGUAGGUAACCUGCCUGGUAGCGGGGGAUAACUAUUGGAAACGAUAGCUAAUACCGCAUAAGAGUAGAUGUUGCAUGACAUUUGCUUAAAAGGUGCAAUUGCAUCACUACCAGAUGGACCUGCGUUGUAUUAGCUAGUUGGUGGGGUAACGGCUCACCAAGGCGACGAUACAUAGCCGACCUGAGAGGGUGAUGGGCCACAUUGGGCCUGGGCACCGCCCCAACCUCCUAGGGGAGGCAGAAGUGGGGAACUUUCGGCAAUGGCCGGAGGCUUGCCCGAGCACCGCGGGGUGAGUGAAGAAGGUUUCCGGACCGUAAAGUUCUGUUUUAAGGGAAGAACGAGUGGGAGAGUGAAAGUUCACACUGUGACGGUAGCUUACCAGAAAGGGACGGCUAACUACGUG